UUGCUAUGUAUUCUCUAUGAUGUUUGAAUGAUUGAUGAGUCAUAGUGAUAUGAAAGAAUAUGUUUUGAAAAUGGGAGUAUGGUACUUGAUUGAUGGUCGAGUAGGCAAGGGACGCGGGAGGAACCGGCGGACCCAACACAUGGUGGCAAAUACCUGAGGUCGAAAGACCAGUAUGGAAAACCCACAAUUAAAGAAAUGAAAUACGGCUAAUACCUGAGGUCGAAAGGCCGGUAUGGAAACCCCCGUAUUAUCUAUUGGCCAAAUUUGAUGAACAGGUUCCGAAAAUCAAAGUCUAUUGCUAUCAGUCAAGUACCACACUUCAAGGGUACCCGAUAAAGAGAAGGAUUUCAAAGAAAAGGAUCACGAAUGAAGUUAUAGAUGUGAUAUUGUACUUAUUGAAUGGAUAAUGUGUUAUGUGAUUGAUAUAUUGCUAUUACAUCAGUUUGAACUUGCUGAGCCAUUAGCUCAUUAGGUUCUUAUGAUGCAGGUAAUGAUGUACAUGUUUAGAAGUUGACCUAGCCAAGAGCGGCCAGUCAGAUAUUUGUUCAUAUGCCAUGCUUCGAGCCAUUUUUGUAGCCGAGCAGAAACUCUGAUUUCAUUUUGUUAGCCGCUCUAUUAUGGUUUUUGUACAAUGUAAUUUUGUAAACAAUGAAUAUAUAUAUGUACGGAUUUUGAGAAAGUACAAAGUUUGAUU